rnacentral:rRNA from 1 species
AGCAGCCGCGGUAAUUCCAGCUCCAAUAGCGUAUAUUAAAGUUGUUGCAGUUAAAAAGCUCGUAGUUGAACUUCGGGGUUUACCCAUUGGUCAGGCUUAAUUGUCUGUACUGGUGAGAUAAAUCUCUACCUUCUGAGGAACUUUCAUGCCAUUUAUUUGGUGUGAUGGGAAAUCAGGACUGUUACUUUGAAAAAAUUAGAGUGUUUAAAGCAGGCUAACGUCUGAAUACAUUAGCAUGGAAUAAUGAAAUAGGACGGACUGAUUCUAUUUCGUUGGUUUCUAGGAUCACCGUAAUGAUUAAUAGGGAUAGUUGGGGGCAUUAGUAUUCAAUUGUCAGAGGUGAAAUUCUUGGAUUUAUUGAAGACUAACUACUGCGAAAGCAUUUGCCAAGGAUGUUUUCAUUAAUCAAGAACGAAAGUUAGGGGAUCGAAGACGAUCAGAUACCGUCGUAGUCUUAACCAUAAACUAUGCCGACUAGGGAUCGGACGAAGUUAAUUUUAUAAUGACGCGUUCGGCACCUUACG